rnacentral:lncRNA from 1 species
GCAAUGGCAGAUUGGGACCUACCACUGGAGGUAUGGGUAGCCCUGAAAUCGGAGGAAGGGGUAGCUUAGGGACGGUCACUGGAGGAACGGGUAGCUUAGGUACAGUUACCGGGGGAACGGGUAGCUUAGGGACUGUCACUGGAGGAACGGGUAGCUUGGGGACGGUCACUGGAGGAACGGGUAGCUUGGGGACGGUCACAGGAGGAACGGGUAGCUUAGGUACAGUCACUGGUGGAACGGGUAGCUUAGGGAUGGUCACAGGAGGAACGGGUAGCUUAGGGACGGUCACCGGAGGGACUGGUAGCUUAGGGACGGUCACCGGAGGAACUGGUAGCUUAGGGACGGUCACCGGAGGAACUGGUAGCUUAGGGGCUUUAGGGGAGUGCUUUCCGCCCUUCCGUGGGUUGCAAGAGCCGCAUGCGAGAGAAUGUUGGGGGAGAUAGAUAAUGCAAAUGAGGAAGAGGCAAAGAGAGAGAGAUGAGAGUUUGGAGGAGUCCAUGUUGAGUAGAGUGGAUGGUGUAACUAUACGAAAGAGUAUAUGAAUAUAUAGAGGGAAAAUGAGAAGAAGAAUUCACGUGAAGAUGGGGGCUACUUCUGCAAUAAGAAGAGACGCCCCAAAAUAAGCAUGGUUGGCAAUUAUCAUAAGAAUACAAGAUUUCCUUGAUGACCCAUCGCUAUAUAUCAUCACAUGUCGACCACACUUUUUUCACUUUUUUUUUUCUAAGUGCCUCUUGUUCUUGGGUUAACUACAACUUUUAACAACGUGUAACUUCAGUUUCAACAGUACAGUACAUUUAACUUGUAGGAAUUGUAAUGAAUCAACUUAGCGAGACUAGGUCAUUAUGAGAUAUCAUCAAUACUAAAUAACAUUUUGAUGAUGUAAACACUCUAGGAAAAGCAGAUAAUAUAGUAUCAUAUGGUUUUCGCUUUAGUGUGUGGCUUCAUAAGCAUCUCCAUGCAUGAGUCGACUGCUAAGGAACAUAUAGAUCUGCACCAUAGUGAAGACGGCUUAGUCUAUUCAAAACACUAAUGUUGUGCCUUUCGAGGACCUCCCGAGACUCGAAUUCGAAUGCACUCUCCAAAGGUAUUAUGUUAGGGAAAAAACCUUAUUAAACCAAAUAUGUUACUGUUUAACCCAUACACGAAAAUUAGAUAUAUAAAUGUUGAACAAAUAGCAUAUAGUUAUAUCCAAUAUAUACGUACAUGAGAGGUAAAGAAGACAGCAAGACUGACAUGUGAAAUUCGGGAUACACUUUUGUUGUUUGGUGAUUUUGUUACGUAGUGUCAUUAAAGAAACGAUCAUGUGUGCGUGGACCAUCUUCUUCUUUUUACCGCUCAUUUCCCUUUUUACCAUAUCUACUACAAAAGAGUCCGAACUGACCAUUUAAUGAACGAGUACCAUUCAAUUCAUAAACUCCCCGUAUCAAUCUAACUGACACUGUAAAAGUUAUAAUGUUAAUAUAUAAAAAUAAUAUGGUUAUUUAGCAUGAAUAAUAACUUUUUAUAAUUGAGAGUAUGUCUAGCUAACAUUGGUGAUUGGUGCUUACAUAAAUCAUAUUUUUCAAACCACUUAACAAGAACUUUACAUAUUCAAUGAUAAACGAAUCACAUUUAUACAAUAUACCAUUCAAAAAUAAUAUUGUAAGAUGAUUUGAAAUUAAACGAUUGUAAUAUAUAAUGUGUUAAAAGUAAUGUAUUAUAGAUAUCUUGUAAUUAUUUAAAGGGUUUUGUGCAAAAAAAAAAACCACUAACUCAUACAUUUUUCCAAUUUACUAUCCAGCUCUAAUAAAUGCACAUUAAUCCUAUGAAUCUAAAAUAAUACGCAUUGUAACCCUUUUUGACCAUUUUUUGCUACCAUCAAUUUUGUAAAAUAUUGAUAUAUAAUAUGUUAAAUCAAAGCUCUCGCGACCAAGAGUUCAACUCUACCUUUAAAAAUUUUAAAAUGUAAUGUAUGUAACCGUAAAAACGCUUGUAAUAUGCAUAUGAAAUUUAUAUUACAUAUUAUGUUAAACUUCAUAAGAUUAAUCUGCAUUUGUUGGUAGUGCAUUUGUUAGAGGUGGAAGGUAAUGUUGCAAAAAUAGAUGAGUUAAAAGAUUUCUUUUUGCACAAAACCCUUUAUUUAAACUACUAACAAUAUAAUAUAUAAAUAAUUUAAAACAUAUAUCUCUAUAAUUCAUGAAGUAAUAAUGGUGUACCCUAUCCUUACCAACGAAUAAUAAAGAAAUGAUAUUAACUCUGAUUCAAAAGCUAUAUAUAAGAUAUUCUUUUUUUUUCCUCGGGAGGGAUACGAAUCCGGUAACAUGAAUCAGUGUCCAAUAAGAGCCAGUGGUCGUAAAUUCCAAAUGACAGAUGGAUGACUCAUUUUAAUUCGUAACUUUUGUCAGCUGCGAUAUAUGCUAAUGAAACCUGAGGUGCUAGAUUUUGAUUUUAAUGGCUUUAGAUUCUUACUCAACACUCAAUGGCCCACUCGUUAAUCUCUUACCUUCUAAAGUGAGUUAUGAUCCACUGCUUCUUUCUUCUUGUAGAUAGAUGGACCUGUUUUUUUUAGGUUGUGAUUUGUGGACAUUAAUCAACAACCCAUGUUUAUACGUGAUAAUGUCUGGAGCUAUAUGUAAAGGCGAUAUGGAGGACAACAUUCCUCUAUUCUAACUUUAAAAGCCAUGUAGUUAGGGCUGGACACCAAUAUUCUUUUUUUUUUUGCUAAAUUGUAAAUAUCAUUUUGAUGAAAAAUCAGGUUUUACAACAGUUGUAUAACCUAAAACAUUUGAACUCUUUGGCAAAAAAGAAUAAAAAAACGAAGAGCCAAUCGAGAGCUGCAUAGAACUCGGUAGUUUCAUAGCAGCCACAACGCUAUUAACUUGCGAAAAAGGAGUCUGUUUCUUCUUGAGGUGAUAACGUUUUUGAUUUUGCGGUUGAUGCACUUGAAUAUAGAAUGCGGAGAGAGGGAAGUAGCGUUGUGCAGGACAUUGUUAGGCUGCUUCAAGAUGUGGAAGACCUUAGACUGAACGACAAUAAUUUUAAGAACUGAUGAAGCCAAUAUUCAUCAUUUUCAAACAAAAAAUAUCUUUUGUUUGACACCAAUAUCCUUGACCAGCUUCAAACAAAGGAUAUACAUCAUUUUUAAGUCGGGUAAGGCAAAUGAGUAUAAGGAUUCUCAUUACACAUCUGGUUGCCAAAAACUUUUAGUCAAAUACUAGUUACAAUCUCAGUUUUUUACCCCAAACUUUUUGCCACUUAAAAAACUAGGGGUGGGCAUUCGGGUAAGCGGGUCGGGUUCGGGUUCGGGUAAAACCCGAUCAGGUAUAAAGAAGUUUAGGAUCUAAUAGGGUAAAUCUAAAAUAUCGGUUCGGUUUCGAUUCGGGUCCAACCGGGUUCGGAUAUAGAUUUGUGGCCUUUUUUUAUCCAGAUUUUUCGGGUAAAAUUUUGGAUUUCGGAUAAAAUUUAGAUUUUUGAAUAAAAUAUUUGGGUAUUUUCGGGUUCGAGUUUGUUUUUUCGGGUAGAGAAAUUUAGGAUCCAGUAAAGUACAUCUUCGGAUUUGGAUUAAGUUUCAGCUCUAAUUUUUCGAGUUAGUUUCGGUUCGGAUAAUCGGUUCUGGUUUUUUGGCCCGGCUCUAUAGAAAACCAUCAAUAAAUAUUUUAAUCCUAUUUCUGCCUCAUUACUCGAGAAAAUAUUCGACCCGUUUUAUUACUUGAUAAAUUUACAACUAUAUAUUUAUGUAAUCUAUUUCAUAUUAGUAAAAUAUAUUAAAUUUGUUAUUAAAACCAAAUAUCUUUUGAGAUUAGGGCAAUCAAAAGUUAAGGUCAAGCAAAUGUCUCCUUUCUAAAUGUUUUUGUGGGUAACGGUAAAGGACAAAUAUACAGCCCAUGCCCAGACCUACAAGUAGCGACUCCAUUACUACACAGUAAGAUUUUUAUUAAUAAAAAUGUGCAUGGUUUCAUUUAAAAGUCAUUGCUAACACUUCACUUUACAGUAAUAUUCAAUUUCAUACCUUUAAACGUUAAUCAGAAUCGCCAAUUGGAAGCCAGUCACUGGAAUCACCUUCCGAAUCCUUGCUAUGUCCAACUUGGCUCUUGCUGAGCUGAACCCAGCUUGACCCGCUUGCGUUUGAUGCUGGUCUUUUCAGUGUACUCCUGUUGGGACUUGGCUUCUCCGAGAGAUCAUCGACAUCUAAAUCACUAAAGGAGAUUACCUCUUCAUCUCUGAAACUCCUCCGUUGUUCUUCAGAUGACUCAUCACUUAUCUCCCUUUGCUCAAUUUUUAGAGUCUCUAUCUUGUCAAUGACUCCCUCAACGGUUUCUGUUUCCCUACUGCUACCUUCUUCAGGAGUUUCGUGACCAGUAGUGCUCUUGCUUGACCCUGUCUCUUUCUUUUGCAGCUUUAGUAAAAGUUGAUCCCUUGUUUCAAAUACCUGUGCCGCACAAUAUAGUUAUUAAAGUUUCAGAAAUAGGUACAAUAGUAACUUGGGAAAAAAUGCAGAGCAUAAAAGAUAUAAAACAAUCCAAUUUUAAAAGCAUCAGGCAAAAAUACAUUUUUUCCUGAGGCUAUACUUGUUCUUAUUGCAAUCGGUUGAAGGGGUCAUUAUAGCAUAAACGUUUACGAUUUUAAUAAUAUUGGAUCAAUACUGACAUUUCAGAAGAAUGUAUUUCCAGUAUACAGUCUUACCUUGCAUGUUGCUAAGAGUUCAAAAUCAUGCCCAUUCAGUCUCGGCAUCAGCAAAAUAAAAUAAAUCAGCCAGAAGUGUUCAUCAUCCAUGUAACUACUAACUUGAUUCUUCACAGCUACAAGGCCAGGAACCAAAUCUUCAAUGGCUGAUGCAUGUGCCCUUUGAGCCUCAGACAGUUCAAAUUCUGCAAUGUGGACAUGAAAAGUUGGAGAAAAACUUCAGCAUAAUUCAGUAGGUAAAAUUGAUGUAAACCACCAAUGCUUUUUAUCAGGAAGUGUUUCGACAACAUUUUCAAGCAAACCAAGCCUAUAUACAAAAGGUUGUACAGGAUGACGAUAUGCUUCGCAAUAAAAUAAAUAAAAAGAUUUAAGUGGCAUAUGGAUUGAACUAUAUAUAUAUAUAUAUAUAUAUAUAUAUAUCCCAAGAAGAGACUGCAGACCCCGUCAAGUUUAUUCGUAAUUCCUGGAGAUCUAUCUAAAGAACAGGGACUUCAAAAAAAAAAAUUAACUGCAGAAACAAUCAAUCUUGUCCAAACAGGUCUAGAAUAAAACACAUCAAGAGUUAAAGACUGAAGCAUAAUCAUCUUUGGCGACUGAAAACAAGUCAACUAUAUUUCCAAGAACAAUCAUGUUUAUUCCUGCAUGGCUGCAAGUUCGUCGACAAUAUCUUCAAGGUAUGAAAAAUGUGAUCUACAGAGAGUAAUGGGACCCCGAGAUCCUAAAGACCUGAGCUUGAAGAAAUAUAUCCCAAGAGGAGAUGGCAGGACCGGUCUAACCUAAUCUAAAAUACUAGGAAAUCUCUCUAAAGAACACCAGAGGCUACAAGCAAUCAACUGUACAAACAAAAAAAAUAUUUUCCUAAUAAAUCACAGUAAGAAAAUCAUAACUAAACAUAGAUAGUUAGAAACCACCAAUGCGGUGCUUCGACUAUACUUUCAAACUAACAAAGCCUAUAUACUGGGAACAAAAAUAUGCUUGAAGAAAUAUGUCCAAAUAAGCUUAAUCUGUAACCCUAGUGAUCCCACUAGAAAGCCAAUCAACUGUAGAAGCAAUCAAUCUUUUCCAAAUAAAACCUAUUUUAGUAACAAUUAUGUUUGCCUACUGGGAAAAAAAAAAGUCAAUGCAGAGCUUAAGACUAUUGAGAAUCAAGCUUUAUGAUUCCUCUAUUGACUAUACAGGAGCAUUACCAGUAUCGAGUGACAAUGGAAAAUCUGUCCAACAACCAGGUUUCGUCGAGAUUUUAACAGCGAAAUCGACUACUUCUUCAGAGAUUCCAGGAACUUGAUCGUUCAACGGAGAUCUUCUACUACUUUCUCUAUCUCUUAGAUUACUAGGAAAUUGGAGUAAAUUAGAUGCGAAAUUGGAGAAAUUUCCACGAAUCUCGGCUAGAUCGUUGCGGAUCCCGAGAAGACCUAGCUGAGUUGGUGAAUUAUCAGAGGAGAGUCGGCGUUCGUUUACAGGUGGAGAAGGAGGCGGUGCCAGGAAAGCUGCGACGCCACGGAGUAAGGAAGAUAAAUCUUCUUUGACACCGCCAUGAGUUGUGGAAGGAUCGGGAUCGGGAUCGUGAUCGUCAUCGCCGCGAGAUUUGAAGAGCCAAGACAUGGUUUUUGAGUGAGAGAGGUUGGAUUUGGGGUUUUCAGUUUUUUUUGCACGGGGUUACGAAUAGCAAGAGAGAAGAAACGGUACGUUUUAAUACCUUUCCAAAACGCACCGUUUGUUGUUUGUUCGUUUUGAUACCUUCCCAAACGUGAAAUAAACGAACAAUAAUUAUACAAAAUAAACGGAAACAAAACCUACUUUUUAAAACGGGAAAAUAUCGUUUUAUACGUGAUGUUUUUAAGAAUGGUCAUUUUAUAUGUAAACUUUUAGAUCGAUCAAAUAAAAUAUGAUAAAAAUGUUGAUCCGCUAUUUAAACAAAACAUAAAGUUUGCCUGGCCAAAAUUUCCGAAAUGUUAACUUGUAUUAACGGAUCUGAUAACCCUCGUUAGCAGACGUUAGUCGUCUUCCGUUAAUACCAAACGAUUUUUUGUGAUGAGUACAAACCUUAAAAUUCCCAAAUCGAUUUUUCAUUCCCUAAUUCUUCAUAAUCCCCAAAAUUUGAACUAUUCUCGAUAUAUUUUUUUUGAGCUCAAAAUCUCCAUUUUGUGUAGAUAUGAGUUUAAAAAAUUUGAGUGUUCAAGAAGGAGGAAGUGGGAACCUUGGGUUUCCUUCAAAGUGUCAUUGGGGGAGAGAUUUCAUCAUCUAUAUAUCAAGCUCGACGAAGAACCCAAGAAGAUCCUUCUUCUGUUGUCCAACAUAUCAAGAUGUAAGUAGAUUUGAAUUUGUUUUUUUUGGUGUUUGAUCGGUAAAAAGUUGUCGUUGUAAAUGCAGGACCAUUUGUUUAAGUGAGUCGAAGAUUGUGUGUAUGAAGAGGUUGUAGAUGCAAUACUGAUAAUCUCUAUGAUUGAUAGCUAGAUAAACAAUGUCAAAUUUCAGGUUGUAGUCGAGAUUGCAGAAUUAAAGGUUUUGAUCCAAGAAUUGAAGGAAGAUGAAAUGUGGAGCAAAAUGGAAUUGAAGAUAUGGAAAUCGAUGACCAAAUUGUGCUUGGUGUGCCUUUGUAUAACAGUCAUUGCAAUUAUGAUCAUAAUGUUCUAUAAGACCAAAAACCAUAAGCUUGUUCUUGGUUACUAGUGUUUUGUGUUUGUAAUAAAAUGUUUUUAUGGUACUGAAAUGUUUGUUUGGCAAUGAUAAUCAGUCCUAGUGUUUUGUCUUAGUGUUGUGAUUGUAAUGAAAUGCUACUAGAUGCUUGUUUAACAAUGAGAAUCACCAAAAUGAAACUCAUUCAUACAUUAUAAAACUUGUGUCACAAAGACAAGUCGAAACCACAAAAUGAAAUCGAUACUAAGCUUAUGUCAUAAAGACAAAUCCAUUAUGUCAACCACCAAAAAUAAACUUAUGAGAAAGCUUAAGUUCAAACAACAACAAAAAGAAACUUGUGACUAAUCUUGUCUUGAACACUCAAACCAUGAUGCAAAUCCACCAAGUCCUUGUGGUUGAGCAUGUGGCUCAGUUUGUGCUUGUGCUUGUGGUUCUGUUUGGGAUUGUACUUGUGAUGCUCCACCUGUCUCCCUUGGUCUUUCUGAUGUUCCGCCUGUUGCCCUUGGUCCUUGUGAUCGAAUAUGAGAUUGUGAUCCUUGAUGAGGUUGUGAUCCGUGUAUUUGCUCUUGCGAUUCGAGCACUUGAGAUCGUGAUCCUUAAUGAGAUUGUGAACUUUGAUGAGGUUGUGAUCUUAGCACUUGUGAUUCCUCCUAAGUUAAAUAUGACAGUCUGAACAGUUGCAUGAUUAAGUGAGUUGUAAAACAUAUAAAAAAAAACAAGAAUACAAACCUGAUUUAUUCGUGGAUGACCUCUUGGUCUCUUUGGUGGAAUCAGAAUAGUGGCAUUUUUGCAGCUUUGCUUGUUUGCCCUUGUUGAAGGCAGUUAGAGCAUGUCAUGAUUCUCUUUUGCAGUGGCAUCUUGUUCUUAUUUGAAGAAGAAGAAGUCUCAUUUCUUCCUUUUCUCCUAACAUAAUUACUCGGUCUUCCAACAUUUCCUUUUGUCCAUGGUGGUGGCAAAACAGGGAGCCUAUUGGUUUUAGGCCACAAUGGCAUACCUUGGACAAGGCUAAUACCAUCUUUAUAAGUUUUUCGCCAGAUUACCUUUGUGUAAAACUUGCUCACAUAGUCUGCAACUGUUUCUCUUCUUCCUAUUAUCACAGGUGUCGCAUAAAUACAUGGGAUCCCCACCAUCUACCACUUCCUGCGACCACAAGUUCUCUUCUCCGUAUCAACAUAGUAGCUAACACCAUUCACAUCAAUUUGAUACAAAUUGUUUCUGGACAUAUAUCUCUCGCAAUUUCUAACCCCAACUAUCAUUUUCUCAAUCUCAAGAUGGGCUCUCUUUGUGAACCUUGUCUUCAAUUUGUCAGCAAUGAUAUACGUCUUCGUAGUUAUGACCAUGCAUUACCUCUGGAUGUACUCUAGCUAAUCCAACAAAGGCUUUCUCCUAGCCUGUUUAAUAGUCUUAUUAAAAGACUCACACUGAUUAUUGAGGCUGUCAUUGCAACGUGUCCAAUUCUAAAGAAGGCUCUCGACCAUGUCAUUGGACUAGUAAGUUGCGAGUGGCAUGCGCAUGAGGAUUGUAUCUCUUUAGCUCUUCCAUAUUAUUCAUGAACACUUCUUCAGUGUAGCUUCAAAUUGUUUUUCAAAGAGACAUUGUAGUUCUAUCUCAUGGUUGUCUCUCUUCCAAUUGUCCAUUAUAUGCCUUGAAUAUUGUCGAUGCUCAACUUCUGGAAGUAUGGUAUUGAUAGCUUUGACUAGACCCUGUAAAAUAACACAAAAACAUAAGCGUAAACCCUUCAUAAAAGACAUUAAACUGAAGCAAAAGAUGAUAAAAUUAACUGAUUAUUUAUCUGAAAUGAUAACUAGAUGUUGCAUUUCACAGUCCCAAACUAGUAGAGAGCUGUCUCAAAAACCAGUCCCAAUUAUCAUUGUUUUCUAUCUCAACAACUGCCCAAGCUAUAGGAACAAUCCUCUUAUCUCCAUCUCUUCCAACUACAGCUAAAAGGUGACCUUUUACAUCCCAUUUUAGAAAACCCAUCUAUUCCUAUCACAGGUCUACAAGUUCGCUUCCAAGAAUCCUUUUGAGAUUUAAAGCAGAUAUAGCACCAGAGAAAAGAAUCCUUUUGUGAUAUAAAGCAGCUAUAGCAUCAGAGAAACCUUUGCUUGCUUCCAAUAAAAAGCCCUACUGUUGUCUCUAUCUCAAACUCUGUCUCUGGGUUCUACUUUAAAACCUCCGCUUGAUAAUCUCAUAUUCUUGAAAAGUGAUCAUUAUGAGUAGCAUGUCAUGCUUUCAACACUUUGGUCUUGGCCUUUGCACAUUGGUCUGGAGUCACAUCCAAAUUGAAUUCUCUCUGAAUCUCAACAACCAUCUCGUUCUUUGAAAUAUUUGGAUUCACUCUCAGCCUUUCAUCAAACAAAAGUGCAAUGGAAGACCGCUUCAACAUCUUUGAAUAUCCUGACCUAACACAAGUAUGCAUAUAAAAUCUUACUUGCAUCUUAUGUUUUGUCUUCUCAUACGAACAAUAUACUUUCCAACCACAUUUAACACCAUCAACACCAAUUUAUGACCACUUCGCAGCAACAACCAUAGAUUCAGACCCAUAAAGAGAAAUGGUAUACCAUGUCUUUAAAGAGUACAUCAAAAGAACACGCUUGAAGUCGUGUUUAUAUCCUCUUCACCGCGUAAACCACCAUUAUAAUCGUUAUCUCCACCACCAACCACAUCAUCAACGACAUUGCAGUCUUCAUCACCAUACACGGCGCAGUCUUCUUCAUUUUUCAGGGUCAGGCUCAAAUGUAGGUUCUUCAUCCUCCUCUUUUUAAUGUCUGACUCUUCUUCGUUUUUGUUUUCAAAGCCGCUUUGAAACUCGAGCUUUAACUACGAUAGAAGACUCUACUACGCCUACAGCCGGCAGAGCUAGAACUCCGUUAUCAAACUCUAAAACUGCUUCCGCUGGUGGAGCUCGAACAACAUCUUUGGUGUCAUCUUCGCCUCGUGGUGGAGCUUCAUCAUUGUCUAAUUUGCCUUCCAUUGAUACAAUCUAGGACUCCAAGGAUACAAAUUCAAGAUGAAAUCAAAUCAAAAUCGCGAUUUCGCCAAAGUAAGAAUUAGGGAUUUGGUUUUUGGAAAUUAGGGAUUUUGAAAUCAAAAUGGGAAUUUCUGUUUCAGUUUAUGAAACGACAUUGUUUUAGGCAUUAACAGAAAAAAUUAACGUCUGCUUACAGGGGUUAUCGGAUCUGUUAAUGCAAGUUAACGUCUCGGGGAUUUUGGUCAGGUCAACUUUAUGUUUUGUGUUAAAUGGCGGGUCAACGUCUUUAUCAUGUUUUAUUUGGCCGACCUAAAAGUUCACGUAUAAAAUGGCCACUUUUGAAAGUUCACGUAUAAAACGACAUUUUUCCCUUUUCAAAAACCUAAUUUAUUUCGCAUAAUUAUUGUUCGUUUUGAAAAGUAGGUUUUGAUUUAAUAUUAAAUUUAUUCGGGGAAAAAGAAUUAUACAUUUACAAGUAGGAAAAAUGGGUAAAAAAAACCUCACCUUUCCCAAAUACAUUUAAAAAAACCUCAACUUUUUGUAGGUUUUUAAACCCUCACCUUUUCAAAAAUGGUAAAAUAACAAUUAGCAUUAUUAAACCAAAUAAAUACAAAUUAAAUACUAAAUAAACUAUUAUAUUAAGACAUAAAAAACAACAUAAUUUAUAAUCUAUCUUUUCCAAAUUUGAGUUUAGGAUUUUUUUUCUUCUAGAAUUUAGUUGUUUUUUGUGAUAUAAAAAAUAAGUUUCAUUGCCAUUAGAAAUUGGUAUGUAAACUAAAACAAUUUAUAACAUAGCACAUUUUAUUUUAUUUGUGUUCAACUAUGUUCUAACCUUUGAAGUUUUGGAUUUAAAAUGGAUAAAAUUUAUUAACACAAAUUUGAUCUAAACUUGAGUGACCUAAUAUUUGUUCUAAACUUGUGUGAUCAAAACUUUAUUCUAAACUUAAGUGUCCAAACCAAAUAAAAUUUUAUUAAAUAUAUUUUAUAUUUAGUUAUUACAAAAUUAGUUUAGUUUUACGUUGAUGAAUUUCUUGAACUCAACCAAAUUAAUCUUGUUUCAGUUCACUGCAUAUGUAGAAGAAUAUAUAUCUAUAUAUAUAUACAUAUAUCAUACCUAAAAUAAAAUAAUUAUUUUUAUCCAAAAUUUAAUUAAACUUACACUCGAAACAAAAUAAAUAAACUUUGAAUAGACUUUGGAUAUGUUAUCUUCAGUAUGAAACCAAUUGUCUGAACCAAAUUUAAAUUGUUUUCACAUAAAACAUUUUACUAGAAGAAAAUAUUUAAGAGCUAUGUCUUUGGUUAGAUUAGAAUCGACAUAUUUCGUUUUCAAGAUUGUUUAGUGGUAGUUUGUUGUUUUGCGUCAAGUUUUUUUUAAUGUUUUCUUUUCCUAUUUUUGUCGGGUUCAUCUCUUGCUUUUGGACCGGUCAAUCUAUAACUUUUCACCUUUAUAAUAAUAGGUAAAGCGGUUGUGUGACUCUUUCAUUUUCCUCUACUCAAGUUUAAGACUAAAUCUGGUCAAAUUUUUAUUAGACUAGUUAUGAUGGUUUGUUAUAAACCAUUUCACAACUGUUGAAAAAAUUAUUUCCACUACAAUGGUUUAUUGUAAUCGAAAAGUAAGUGAGAUGGCAAAUUUAUCAACACUCAUGAGAGUAGAAGAAAGAAGAUAAGUGUGACAAGUGUUAUAUUUUGAUUGGUUGCUUUUUUUUUUUGGACAAAAGCUUGUUUUUAUUCAAUUAAGAGAGAAACAAGUACAAAGGAACAAGGAUUCUAAGAUCCCAAAGUUUAAAGGACAACAAAGGUAGGCAUUCCCAACACCAUAAGAAGAAAAGCUAACACACAAAUAAGGUACAUCAACAAUGGUUCCAUGAGAGCUAUAAUCCAAACACUUGAAGGGAAUUUGUUACUUUUAAGAUCAAGGAUUGUUGACAAAUCUUCCACGAACAAAGUAGUGGAUGAGAGUAUGGUUACUGUCAAAAGACUUAGUAACGUUAACAAGGGCGCCAAAGACAUGAAUCUCGUCGGGACGAGAAGUACUACACCAAGUAGUGCUUUUGCAAAGGUUCGAACAAGGUUUUGGUAAAGGAAGGAGGAUCGUCGAGGCUUAGAAAGAUUGAUGCGAGACCGUAACAGAACAGGUGGGUCCUCUCUCCCAAGAAGACCAAGGAGAUUAAGGAAUUCCACACAAAGCUUGUAGUCGGUUUGCCACAUGAAGAAAAGGCCAGACAUGAGGAAAUUGAGUAGAUAUCACUUUGAGGCACUAGUCAAUAGGGAGGGAUCUCUCACAAGAGAAUUGAGAAGUUCAUGUUGAAGCUUGAUCCAAACCCGGGGAGUAAUGGUGAAUGGGAGGUUCUUGAAGUUGGUCGAUAUAGUUGUCAGUAUGAAAUACUUUGAUAGAGAGUUUUGGUGACUAGCGUCACAUCUCCGACAGAUUGGACUAAGAAACACUAGACCAUGAAUCUUCAAAACGGAAUCAUAAAACAUUGCCCUAGCUAAACCUAGCACCAAGGUUCUCAGAUAAUAUUUGUAGGAGCAUAUCAACGAGGGUGAUUCGUCAUUCAAGUGGUGUCCCUAACCCCUCAAAAUAAAGAAACGAUGUCUACAUUGGGAUAGACUCGGCAAAUUGCAGAUGGAGGAAUACCUGGAUUUUUGUGAUAAUAGGUUUGGGUCGCAAUUUAUGGGCUUGGGCCGCGAGGGAAAUGGGCCAACAUUGGAGACAGGGCCCAUCAAAGAAAACCCUCGAUUCCAGAUUGUUGGGCAAGGAGCGUUGGGAGUGCGGCGGCUACGGUAGAGAGGUACGAAUUGCACAAUUGAAGCAGACGUCUCUGAUGUAAAUAGAGUUAGGGUGAACAAGCUGCAUGACGGGUCCGGCGCUGAGGCUAUAACAACGGCUAAUGGUUUGGCAAAAGAACGUCGGAGAAGCCUUAGGGAGCCGAAAGGUCCCGCAGAUCUAGUAACGAUGAGGAGGCGGAGACAAGGCUCAGGUUGGAAGGAUUGGUCGCCUAUGAAAUUGAAAGCUUCACAAACUGUUUUCUUUGAUUCGCAAGGUUUGGACAGAGAGUGUAGCUUGCUCGGAGGCCACAUUUUGCCUAUGUCGGAGAAUACUGCUUCAAAGAAGAUUCAACAGCAAAGAAGAACUCGAUAGAUUUGGAUUAAAAGGUUUGCAACAGAAGAAAACUAAAUUACAACGAAGAAGUAGAUGAAAGAUUGAGGAAAUAGCUCGAGAGAUGAGAGGGAGGUUCCGAUGCCGGCGAGCAUUUGCUCCACCGACGUCGGAAAGAUGAAGGGAGAUAGUUUCCUCGAUAUUAGUGUCUAUUAGCUCCACCGACGUUGAAAAGAUGAAGGGAGAUAGUUUCCUCGAUAUUAGUGUCUGGGAGAGAAACUCUUUAAAAUCUUAGUCUCGCAAAAAAUUUGAUUGGUUGCUUUGAUUUCUAUAUUUUUUUUCUUAAUUACAUAACUUUAAUUAUUUCAUAAUAUUUAUAAAUAAACAUAUCAAAAUUUACAAUUUUUCAUUCUCUAUAAAUAAACACUAUCUUCAUUUGAUUUGGACAAAACAAAAAUAAUCUUUCUUUAGAAAAAAAAAAGUUUAGUCUCCAAUAAACUUUUGUUUUAGCUUUAAAUAUACUUUUAUCUAAAUGGAUCCAAACAAUAACCUUUCAACACCCAAAACUUUUCUAAUUACUUUUAAACUAUCCAAAUCCCAACAAUUAUUAGUUGCAGGUGUGUCAGAAGGACAUUGAACGAGCAUUUGGAGUGUUGCAGGCUCUAUUUAAAAUUAUUCGCGAACCAGCUCGACUGUGGGACAUAGCCGAUUUGACUAUCAUCAUGAGGUCGUGUAUCAUAUUGCAUAAUAUGAUUGUUGAUGAUGAACGACAGACGUAUACUCAACAUUGGACUGAUUAUGAUCAAUCUAAGGCAAGUGGGCCGAGUACAUAACAACCAUUCUCGACCAAAGUGCUACUUGUAUUUGCAAAUCAUCUGCGUGGUAGAUCCAAGUUGCGUGAUUCAAAUGUACACCGCAAAUUGCAAGCAAAUCUAGUCAAACAUAUAUGGGCACAAUUUGGAAUUUUCCAUGGUGAAUGAGAUUUUUAAGUUUGUGAGUUGAGAUUAAUAUACUAAUUAAGUUACAAAUGUUUCCUUACUUGUUGUGUGCGUAUUGUAUUGCAUUUUAAAUCUAUGUUCAUUGUAUGUGUUUUAGUAAUGAUUAUUUUUAUUUCUAGUUUUUAUUAUUUAUAAAGUUUUUUUAAAAAAUAUAUACAAAUAUUAAAACAAAAACUAUUUUAUAAAAUUUAUUUAAUAUUUAAUUAUUUAAAUUUAAUUUAAUAUUAACGGUGAUUAAUAAUAUUUAAUCACAAAAAACAUAAACAUAAAUAAAAUGAAAAAUAUAAAAUAAAAAUUGUGGGAUAAGGUGUUGUAAUUUUAUCAAACAAAACUAUUGUAGAGGGAAAAAAUUAUGUAGGUGUGGAAUAACGAUGUGGAAGAGAGAGAAAACGAUGUGAAGUGUUAAAAGGGAAAAAAAGGGUGUUGUAAAUGGGUAACCAUUGUAGAUAGUCUUAGGAAGUGAAUGGUGACUUUAAGAUUUGCAGAUUUCGAAAGAAAAAGAAAAAAAUGCACUAAUGUCACCAAUCAGACAUAUGUGUGUAAUUUGUUUUUUUUUACAGAUAAUUUGGCACACACAUUUCAAAGCAUGUUAAUACACUAGGGAUAAAAGAAACACACUCUACUAUCGUCCAAGGGAUAUUUGGCAGCGCUUAACUAAAAACUUGCAUUACACAGUAAGUAAUAAAUCAAUUAUUUAAUUAAUAAUAAAAUGUACCUAUAAAUCAGAUCAUGUACUCUAAAACUAUUCACACAUUACAACCAAAAACAACAUCCUCUCAUAUUUCGCUCCAAUCCAAAAGAAAAAAAAAACAAUCUCCCACCCUUUCGUCAUAUAUUACAACAUUUAAAUGUAAAUUACUUUUACUAUACUAGUAUAAUAAUUACUUAUAACAAAAUAUUUCUAUGUAAUUAAGGUCUCUUUAUAAAUAAAUAGGACUGAAAUUAAGUAUAUAAAAUUGUUCAAAAUUUAGUAAAUCAUAAAAUGUUAUAUUUAUGUACAUAUUUAUAUGACUAUGUUUUAUUUUUAUAUUCAUAACAUCAGUAUUAAAUUUUAAUCAAAUCAUAGAAAUUUUUAAAUAUGUAUAAUAAAUGGUUGUGAUAGUAUUUACUAAUCAAGAUGUAUAUAUAUUUAUUAAAAAGAGAAAGGAAAAUUUUGAAGAUAUACAAAAUUACUAUUUUUUUAAAUUAUAGUUUAGUAUAUUUAUAUUAGAUGGUAAUAUGAUAUUAUGAAUUUUUUCAAAACUUAAUUAAAUCAAUUAAUUUAAUCAUAUCAAAAGUUACUUAAAUCAAUUCAUUUCCAUCAUUAUUAAAUUUUAAACAAAUCAUAGAAAAUUAAAAUAUGAAAAGAAAUGGUUGUGAUAGUACAAUAAAGUGAUUCCGAGUUCCCUUUGCCUCCGUCGGAGAAGUAUUAUCUAGUUGAUUAUGACUACCCAAACAAAUAAGGAUUUCUAGUUCCUUAUAGAUCGUCAGGAAAUCGAGUUGUGAGAUAUCAUAUGUCUCAAUUUUAUUUUGGUCCUCCUCCUAGAAACAAACAUGAACUAUUUAAUAUGUCAUGCAUCUUUACGUUCUGUUAUCGAGAGAACUUUUAGAGUUUCGGAAAAGAAAUGGAGGAAUCUUUUUCAUUUUCCUAGAUAUAAUAUUCAUAUUCAAAAAAGAGUGGUAAUGGUUAUAGUGUGAUUACAUAAUUUUAUCAGAAUUUCAAACUUCUCAGAUGUAGAUUUUCUUGAUGUAAUGACAGAGACAAAUAUAAACUACAGAGAUUAUGAUCAUCAUUUAGAUGACAUAGAAGCAACAGAGAUAACAAAUGGAGAACAUAUGAUGCCAAUAAAAGACAAUAUUGCAAAUAUGUUAUGGCAAAAUCAAAAUAAUAUAAAAUAUUUUUUAAUGUUUUUUAUGAUGAAAUUAGUUAAGGCAUGUAACAAUAUGUAUGUUACAAAAUUAAAUUUAUAUUUUGAUCAAUUUUUGUAUUAGUGGUUUAUAAAUAUCUGUUAUUGUUUAUUUAUUAACACAAAAAAUUAAUUAAUUAUUAAUAUAUAUAUAUAUAUAUAUAUAAUUUAUAAUUCGCACCGCAUGUAGUUUUUUCACCAAUCAAACAUUAUUUUGUACCGCUUAUUUUGAAUAAACCGUACUUAUCCCGCAAAUAUAUUUCUCCUACACGAACCGCAGUUUAACCGUACUACACUUCAAUAACGCUUUCCCCGCACUAUAAAAACCACGGUUACCAUUCGGACCCUUAGAGCUUGUUUAAAAAAUUGCUAGGCGUUAACCGGGCAUUCGGGGACUUAUCGAUAUUAGUUUUUAACAUUUUAAUAUUGAUAUAUACAUAUAAAUUAAAUAUCGGAAUAUAUGACAAUGGAAUUAAUUUGGUUGAGUGUCAUCUUUUUUUAUUUGGAAAUUGCACAAUCUAUACUCUGAGGAGUCGUUAUUUAGGUUCCCAAAAAAGCAACUGUUUGGCUGGUACUGUGGAUGUGGAAAUUGCGCAUGUAUGAAAAUAUAUUGUGUGAGACGGCUUCAUUAAAAUCUUAUUAGAUUAUUAUUGUUCUUCGCAUGUGGUUUUUGUUUUCUAUAUGUUUUUUAUUUAUUGAUUUAUGGGGAAACCAAUCAUCAUCAUCAUUUCCCUUCCAAUACGGAGAGCUUGGCAAUGCGAAAGAUUUGGAUGGCAAAUGUUUGGUAUAAAUUUUUCGACCCGUUAAUAUUAUAAUCUUGAUAUUAUUUUUGUUAACGUCAUUAAUCUUUUGCAGACGUAUGUGGAGCCUAUCAUUUUCCCUGACGUGGAGAUGAACCCGAAAGAAGAUUUAACCUGGUCUGACGAUGAGGAAGAUGUGAUGGGUUGAUAAUAUCGUCAUGUUAGUUGGUAAAGGGAUUACUUUUCAGCUCCCUCCAUUCUGAUUUGCCAACUCCUACAAAUGCUAAGGUUAGUUAACUGAUAUUUAUUUUAUAAUCGUUGUGUUUAGUAGUUUAGCAACUAAGUAUUAUAUGUGAGUAGCUAUAUUUUUUCUUUAUUUUUGUAGCUUUUUUGCCUCUGUUUCAGAGUUUUCAAUUAUCUCCAAGAUGUUGCAGGUAAACAAAUCUGUUGAGGUCCUUGAUCAUCGAGAUGAAGAACCGGUUUAUUUAUUUACACUCCAUUUUUGUUUAACUUUACUGUACAUUUUUGUUAACCCCCUCCAUAUUUUAUUAGCCGGUAAGAUUGUUAUCAUUCAUUUUCUUUUUAAUUAUUUUAUUCUGUCUUGCAGACCAAAAUCAAUCCUUCAAAAUUAACCACUACAGUCGAGGAAGAAAAGGAUUCUAAGGAGGUUAGAUAAUUCUUCCUUGUUUUUAACUUUCAUUUGGUUAAAUCCUUAACCGGUGAUAUAUUGCAUGUUUCAAUUUUAGGAUUUUACCACUCCACCCCUGUCAACCCAGUCUCGCUCUAACGUGAAGGUUAUCUUCUAACUAUGAUGUUAUCGCUUAUUGUUUAUAUUCAUCUUCCACGUUUGUAGGAUGUGGUGUGCCCUGCAAGUGUGUAUGCGGAUUAGCUGUUAAAAAAAAUAUUUCCAAGACGCAAGAAAAUUCGGGCUGCCCCUUCUUCCGCUGUGUAAGCAAAAGAGACGUGAGUUAUUUCCUCUCUAAAAACGAUGUUAUUAGCUUUUCUGGUAGCUACACGUUUUGCUAGUUAACCUAUCAUUCUUUUUGUAGGGACAUUUGUUUAAGUGGGUUGAGGAUGUUGUAUAUGAAGAAGUGGAAGAUGCAUUGGUUAGACUUGUAUCGAUUUAAAAUGAGGUAAAUGAUUAAAAGCGCAGGUCAUCCAGUUUUGUGUUGCUAUAAAAGAGUUGAAGGCAGAUUCAGUGUCCGACCAGUUGGUGAUGCUUAUGUUGAAAGUGGGCUUGCUUUUCAGAUUUGUCUUCUCUCUUUUUGUAGCUUUUGUUAUCGCAACACUUCUUAAAAUAGUCGAUAUUAAGUUCAUUAGUAGUUUUUAAUGUCUAUCUUUGUAAUGUUUCAUAGUUUCUAUAAUUCCCUAUGUUUAAGAUAUUAUAUUUGUUAGUCGUUAACCAUGUAAUAUAUACCUUGUAUCAAUCUUCUGUCUAUAUAAUAUUUUAUAACUUCUCAUUUAUUUCUUUAUUUUUGUACCAUUUGCACAUUCUUUAGGCGAUAUUUAUAACCAUUUUAAAACUUAUCUUUUAUUUUAAUUUUUUGGUAGCAUUUUCACAUUUAUUAAGCGAUAAUCUAAUUCUUAGCCAUCCAGCUGUGGUCCUAUCUUCUUAUUUUAGGACGCUAGUUAUCUUUUUUCUUAGUAUUGCAAAUUUUAAGAAGAGGGUCUAUAUCUUGGUACAUAUUUUGUUACAGAAUAUCAUUCAACAUAAACAUAUAUUUAACAUUCAGAAGGAAGGUUUGUUGGGAUCGUCCCUGAUUGCAGAUAAUACACAUUUUUUGGAUCAGUAAUUGUACGUAUAUACAUUGAAAAUUUUCUGAUCUCCGAAUUCUUGUUAUUUAUAAAACAUGACUUCUCGCGAGUCUUCUAAGCACGGAACCAUCCGUUCAAACCCUCCCAUAGUCCAAAAAAACAGUCCUCUCCUUCCAUCUUCAUCCGCAAAAAAAAAAUUUUCCUCGUCGCUUACUUGCCUCCAUGUACCACAUUAAUUUUUUGAUUAGCAGUCAUUUUUCUUUUUAAUCAGAUAACACCUACUUUAUCGACACUAGUUUCUUCAUACACCAUGGUAAAAGUUUUGUUAUCGGCUGCUUUUUCAAAAAAUGAUAAGGAGCUAUAUAUAUAGAUAGCAAACCAAAGAAAGUUGCCCUAACUACACACCUGAGACUUAAAUGCUCUAUGUUUCUAUCUUCUUUCAAUAUUUAUCGUUUGCAGUGGUUUAUAUGUUAGUUGUUUCAGUUCUUGUUGUUGCAGUAAUGUCGAUAUGGAGAUAAUAAAUAGGCAAACAUCUAUCUUCCAUAUCUGCACAAUCGAUUAUGUAUCAUAUGUAAUCAUUACUUUUUACAUUUUUUUAUUAGUUUGACCAGGGGGCGCAAUAUCUUCGAAGAUUACAGAGCAUUUAAUGCUCGUGAUCUUGCGGAAGGAGACUAGUGAUCCUCUGCUUGUAUAGGAACAAUUAUGUCAUAUUUAAUUUGCAAGAAAAUUUUCACCUAAAUAACGAAAUGAUAUGUAUAGAUCCUUAAUUAUUUUCUCCUGUAGGUAUAUAUAUUUCAUUCACUCUUUUUAGUUUAAUGAAAUAGUAAAUGACAAUAUUAUCCUCAUCUUAUUCUUUAGAUCUUAGCGACUGCAACCCUAAUUUUUGUCGUAUCGUUUUUCACAAUUCUUAUCAUUUUUUCUUACCCUUUAAUGAUUUAUACCCAAAUAUAAUAGAUCUACAACCUAAAGACCGAUUUAAAACUUGUAUUUCUUUUUAAAAAAUGAGUUUUUCUAAGAGUUUUCAAUUUUUUUUGGCGAUUUCAACAAAUCGAGGCGGUGGUGGUCUGAAGAGCGCUUAGUUGGACGAGUAAUCGGUUAGACGACCAAUUUUUAGAACAAGGGUCUUGACAAUCCACAAUGCAAGUGUUGAAUUAUUUAUUCAAUUGUUGAACCUUCACAUUGCACAUGUUGAAUAGUUUAAAAAAUCUUACGUGGAUUCAACUUGGUUGAAAGUAUUCAAUAUGUUAUAAAGAAAAAAUUUGGGCCCGCGCAUGCCACAUGUCAAUAAAUGAGUAAAGGAUGUGUUUCAAACUCGGAGAAAGGAGAGCGUAUUGUCCAAACCUUUUUCUUUUUACUUUUAUUUUUUUUUGCAAAAAGAAGAGAUUAUUGAGAUGCUCACACUUGCUAUAUUUUCAUUAGAUAUUAAGAUUUUGGAGAUUUUAUUUCUAUCUUAUUUAUUUACAAUCAAUUAUUACAUACCAAACAAUUUUUUUUUAAAAACUUAUAUUUAUAUGAAAAUUUAUAAAUUUUUAAACUCUAGAAAUAGAGACUUAGUUCAUUUUAUUUGGACACAUAAAAAAUAUUAUUUCUACCAUAAUUUUCUUAUUCUUCUCCCAUAAACUCUUGGUUAUAUCCUUUUUUUUUAUGGAUUCUAAUAAAAUCCCUAUGCAAAAUUAUACUAAUUUUUCCUUUCCCUAUCCUAAUUCCAACAAUAAUCCUACGCAAAAUUCGACUAAUUACGUUUUUCCUUAUCAAAAUCCCAACAAUUAUCAAUUUCAAAAUCUAUCUUUCAACCAACCUCAAAAUUUCCCAAAUUAUGAUUUUCUACCAAAUUUUUCUAUGCUCUCAUCUGUUCCAAACUAUAAUUCAUAUUAUAGAUCGAUUCCAAAUUCAUCUCAACCACCUCUUUAUGAUUUGAGGUUGUGAUUUUCAUUGACAUCAAAAAGAAAAAAAAAAAAAAUAUCACAGAAAGGAGACAAUGAAUAUGAUUAAUAUUUAAUUGGUAAACUAUUAGAUUAGGCGGGGGUUUUCUCAAAAAUUGUCUCUUUUGUAGGACUGUUGUCACCAAUAUUUUCAGUAUCUUUUACUUUUAUUAAUUUUUAAUAAAAUUUAUGAUAAUAAAAAAAAUGAAAAUAAUCGUAAAUAAAAGAAAAAAAGAGAGUUGUGGGUUCUUUCUUUUUAGUUACCCACGCAUCGCUGUCGAAAGAUUAAUUAUGAAAUCAGAUGUUUGGUUGAGUAUAAUAGUAAUGCAUGUCAUUAGUUUAAAUUUAUAAUAUUAAACAAAAUUAUAAAUAAGAUAUUUGAACAAAACAAAAUUAAGUUAGUUUAAACGUUAAUUGGAAACCAAAUAAGAGAUCUGUUAGGAAAAAAGAAAAUAUAUACCAAAUAAGAGAUACAGGAAAUCAGAAAUUUUAAUAUUAUGUGUUUGAAUCUUCUCACCAAAAAAAAUUAUGUGUUUGAAUCUUCUCACCAAAAAAAAUUAUGUGUUUGAAUCUAAUUGAUUAAUGGACACGGUCUAGUAAAUUAUAAUUUUUUUGACCCGCGAAAUAUAGUGAAACAGAGUUUAUCUCUAUACAACAAGACAAAAAAGAAGUUCUAAGAUCAAACUCUGUUUGAUAUACAAAAAUUAUAUUGUAAAUGAAAAUGGAACUUUGAGAUUGAUCUACAACAAGUCUGCUACACUCAUCACAAACGUAAUGUGAUUAUACACAUCCACGUUGGCCGCAAAAACUAAGGAUCUUGUAUCAUCUGGAUCAACAGACAAAAUCAUAUUGCAAUAGUCAGCAGCAUCACGUGCGAGACUAAGGUCGUCAUCAGUCUCAUCAACAUCACCAUUGCCCAUUGACCGCUGUGCCUUCAUUAGCCCCUCGACAACAGAAUCUUUAUAGUUCUCCAUACAACUCUUGAAACAUGGCUUCUUAGGAGAACCAAUGAGAAACUGUGUGUGCUCUGCCUUCUCCAUGGCUAGAGAAAGAGCCGCCUUAGCCAACUCUAAUACAGUCGAUGCGGAUUUCGUGCGAUGAUCUAACGUUAGGGAUUUGAUACAUUCUUCUUCUAGGGACGAGAAUGACGCGGUGCCUUUACAAGCCUUUGAUAUCAGUAAUGAUGGA